rnacentral:rRNA from 1 species
GUGCCAGCAGCCGCGGUAAUUCCAGCUCCAAUAGCGUAUAUUAAAGUUGUUGUGGUUAAAAAGCUCGUAGUUGAACCUUGGGCCUGGCUGGCCGGUCCGCCUCACCGCGUGCACUGGUCCGGCCGGGCCUUUCCCUCUGUGGAACCCCAUACCCUUCACUGGGCGUGGCGGGGAAACAGGACAUUUACUUUGAAAAAAUUAGAGUGCUCCAGGCAGGCCCAUGCUCGAAUACAUUAGCAUGGAAUAAUAAAAUAGGACGCGCGGUUCUAUUUUGUUGGUUUAUAGGACCGCCGUAAUGAUUAAUAGGGACAGUCGGGGGCAUCAGUAUUCAACUGUCAGAGGUGAAAUUCUUGGAUCAGUUGAAGACUAACUACUGCGAAAGCAUUUGCCAAGGAUGUUUUCAUUAAUCAGGAACGAAAGUUAGGGGAUCGAAGACGAUCAGAUACCGUCGUAGUCUUAACCAUAAACUAUGCCGACUAGGGAUCGGACGGUGUUAUUCAUGACCCGUUCGGCACCUUACGAGAAAUCAAAGUGCUUGGGCUCCAGGGGGAGUAUGGUCGCAAGGCUGAAACUUAAAGAAAUUGACGGAAGGGCACCACCAGGGGUGGAGCCUGCGGCUUAAUUUGACUCAACACGGGGAAACUCACCAGGUCCAGACACAAUAAGGAUUGACAGAUUGAGAGCUCUUUCUUGAUUUUGUGGGUGGUGGUGCAUGGCCGUUCUUAGUCGUGGAGUGAUUUGUCUGGUAAUUCCGAUAACGAACGAGACUCAAAUAUAUUAAAUAGAUGCUUUCAGGACUAUAACGUUGAAGCU